rnacentral:rRNA from 1 species
UACGUAGGGUGCAAGCGUUGUCCGGAAUUAUUGGGCGUAAAGAGCUCGUAGGCGGUUCGUCGCGUCGGCUGUGAAAUCCCGGAGCUCAACUCCGGGUCUGCAGUCGAUACGGGCGGACUUGAGUUCGGCAGGGGAGACUGGAAUUCCUGGUGUAGCGGUGAAAUGCGCAGAUAUCAGGAGGAACACCGGUGGCGAAGGCGGGUCUCUGGGCCGAUACUGACGCUGAGGAGCGAAAGCGUGGGGGAGCGAACAGG